AGAAGCCGGCAGACUCUGCCCUUCGCGAAUCUUUUUGCGGUCUGGGCUUGCUGUACAUAACUCAAUAGCCGGAAGCCCUUACCCCAAAAAGCAUUCGCGGAGGGCGCACUCGUCGAGAAGACGG
rnacentral:pre_miRNA from 8 species